rnacentral:rRNA from 1 species
GAUGAACGCUGGCGGCGUGCCUAAUACAUGCAAGUCGAGCGAACAGAUCAGGAGCUUGCUCCUUUGACGUUAGCGGCGGACGGGUGAGUAACACGUGGGUAACCUACCUAUAAGACUGGGAUAACUUCGGGAAACCGGAGCUAAUACCGGAUAACAUUUGGAACCGCAUGGUUCUAAAGUGAAAGAUGGUUUUGCUAUCACUUAUAGAUGGACCCGCGCCGUAUUAGCUAGUUGGUAAGGUAACGGCUUACCAAGGCAACGAUACGUAGCCGACCUGAGAGGGUGAUCGGCCACCCUGGAACUGAGACACGGUCCAGACUCCUACGGGAGGCAGCAGUAGGGAAUCUUCCGCGAUGGGCGAAAGCCUGACGGAGCAACGCCGCGUGAGUGAUGAAGGAUUUCGGCUCGUAAAACUCUGUUAUUAGGGAAGAACAAAUGUGUAAGUAACUGUGCACGUCUUGACGGUACCUAAUCAGAAAGCCACGGCUAACUACGUG